CGCGGCCUAUCAGCUUGUUGGUGGGGUGAUGGCCUACCAAGGCGACGACGGGUAGCCGGCCUGAGAGGGCGACCGGCCACACUGGGACUGAGACACGGCCCAGACUCCUACGGGAGGCAACAGUGGGGAAUAUUGCACAAUGGGCGCAAGCCUGAUGCAGCGACGCCGCGUGAGGGAUGACGGCCUUCGGGUUGGAAACCUCUUUCGCCAGGGACGAAGCCUUUUGGGGUGACGGUACCUGGAGAAGAAGCACCGGCUAACUACGUGCCAGCAGCCGCGGUAAUACGUAGGGUGCGAGCGUUGUCCGGAAUUAUUGGGCGUAAAGAGCUCGUAGGCGGUUUGUCGCGUCGGCCGUGGAAACUGGAGGCUUAACCUUCAGCGUGCGGUCGAUACGGGCAGACUUGAGUUCGGUAGGGGAGUCUGGAAUUCCUGGUGUAGCGGUGAAAUGCGCAGAUAUCAGGAGGAACACCGGUGGCGAAGGCGGGACUCUGGGCCGAUACUGACGCUGAGGAGCGAAAGCGCGGGGAGCGAACAGGAUUAGAUACCCUGGUAGUCCACGCUGUAAACGUUGGGCGCUAGGUGUGGGUGACAUUCCACGUUGUCCGUGCCGUAGCUAACGCAUUAAGCGCCCCGCCUGGGGAGUACGG
rnacentral:rRNA from 1 species